rnacentral:rRNA from 1 species
GACGAACGCUGGCGGCGUGCUUAACACAUGCAAGUCGAACGGCAAGGCCCUGCUUUUUUGGGGUGCUCGAGUGGCGAACGGGUGAGUAACACGUGAGUAACCUGCCCUUGACUUUGGUAUAACUUCAGGUAACUGGGGCUAAUCCCGUAUAGGAUCUCCUGCUGCAUGGUGGGGGUUGGAUCGUUUAGGCGGUUGGGGAUGGACUCGCGGCUUAUCAGCUUGUUGGUGGGCUAGUGGCUUACCAAGGCUUUGACGGGUAGCCGGCCUGAGAGGGUGACCGGCCACAUGGGGACUGAGAUACGGCCCAGACUCCUACGGGAGGCAGCAGGGGGGAAUAUUGAACAAUGGGCGGAAGCCUGAGGCAGCAACGCCGCGUGCGGGAUGACGGCCUUCGGGGUGUAAACAGCUGUAGCCUGUGACGAAGCGUGAGUGACGGUAAUGGGUAAAGAAGCACCGGCUAACUACGUG